AAAAGUUUAAAAUGCGGACACAUUCACUGAGAAAAGCACUAAACAAGUUCGCCAUACUUGUCGUGGGUUUAUUUGUGACCAUUUUCUUGAGGGCAUUUACAAGCUACCGACAAGGAUGUUCAAAAGGAACUAGUUCUCCAACAAAAUGAAACUCAUGCGAACUACCAAGAGAAGCGCAUAAAACUCAAGCCAAAACAACAACAAAGCAUCUGAAAAUCAUGUUAUAUGUUAGAAAGCUUAAUAGAUUUUUUGUGAAAAUAUGUUUAAAGUUAAUCGAAUAAAAAAA
rnacentral:misc_RNA from 1 species